CUCAGCAGACUGUGGAGUGUCCUAACAGAGUGGUCUUCUUCUAUAUGUCUCAGCAGACUGUGGAGUGUCCUAACAGAGUGGUCUUCUUCUAUAUGUCUCAGCAGACUGUGGAGUGUCCCAACAGAGUGGUCUUCUUCUAUAUGUCUCAGCAGACUGUGGAGUGUCCCAACAGAGUGGUCUUCUUCUAUAUGUCUCAGCAGACUGUGGAGUGUCCCAGCAGAGUGGUCUUCUUCUAUAUGUCUCAGCAGACUGUGGAGUGUCCCAACAGAGUGGUCUUCUUCUAUAUGUCUCAGCAGACUGUGGAGUGUCCCAGCAGAGUGGUCUUCUUCUAUGUCUCAGCAGACUGUGGAGUGUCCUAACAGAGUGGUCUUCUUCUAUAUGUGUCAGCAGACUGUGGAGUGUCCCAGCAGAGUGGUUCUAUAUGUCUCAGCAGACUGUGGAGUGUCCUAACAGAGUGGUCUUCUUCUAUAUGUCCCAGCAGACUGUGGAGUGUCCCAACAGAGUGGUCUUCUUCUAUAUGUCUCAGCAGACUGUGGAGUGUCCCAACAGAGUGGUUCUAUAUGUCUCAGCAGACUGUGGAGUGUCCCAACAGAGUGGUUCUAUAUGUCUCAGCAGACUGUGGAGUGUCCCAGCAGAGUGGUCUUCUUCUAAAUGUCUCAGCAGACUGUGGAGUGUCCCAGCAGAGUGGUCUUCUUCUAUAUGUCUCAGCAGACUGUGGAGUGUCCCAACAGAGUGGUCUUCUUCUAUAUGUCUCAGCAGACUGUAGUGUCCCAACAGAGUGGUCUUCUUCUAUAUGUCUCAGCAGACUGUGGAGUGUCCCAGCAGAGUGGUCUUCUUCUAUAUGUCUCAGCAGACUGUGGAGUGUCCCAGCAGAGUGGUCCUGAAUUUCCCAGUUGAAAUACCCCAGCUGUAUAUCUGACUGGUUGUAUUUUCUCAAAAUAAUGGACCGUUAAUGAACAACUAACAUAGGGAAGUGUGUGUGCAUUCCUGGACAUGGGUGGGUCUGUAUGGCUGUGUGUGCAUGUGCGGCCAUCUGUGUGUGUGUGGGCGUCCGUACAUCUCUCUUACUCUCACUCUCUCUCUCUCUCUGUGUGUGUAAAGGUUGUACUGGUACUAACAGCCAACAGUAGUGCAUCCAUCCGCCCUCUCCUUCCCCUGUCCAUGGAAUCUUACUCAUUAUGAUAGAAAAAGACAAAUGAAUUCUAGAUCAGCAUUACUCUGUGACACUCUGUGAAUUCAGGCCCAGAAGUCUUGUGUUAGUUCAGCUCCCUGAGCUAAUGUUGCCCUAGAUCAAAUGUAGUCUUAUAGGGCUACAACGACCCAGGUUCAAACCCAGUCAAAAGCCUACAUAUGACAUUACAAUGAGUGGGGUAAACAUAGAGAUCCUAUAAUGGAAUCCUAUGGGUGUAAAUACAUUUUGGGCUCCUGAGUGGCGCGGCGGUCUAAGGCACUGCAUUUCAGUGCUAGAGGGGUCACUACAGACCCUGGUUCGAUCCCGGGCUGUAUCACAACCAACCGCGAUCGGGAGUCCCACAAUUGGCCCAGCCAAUUGUUCUUAACUGACUUGCUUAGUUAAAUAAAGGUUAAAUAUUAUUAUAAUAUAUGUUUUACAUCUAUCCCUGGAUGUCCACUCUUAGGCUGCGUUGACACAGGCAGCCCAAUUCUGAUAUUUUUUCCACUAAUUGGUCUUAACAAUCACAUCAGAUAUUUUCAAAUCAGAUCUUGUUCAGAGCUGAACUGAUUGGACAAAAUACCAAUUAGUGGGGGGAAAAAAAGUUCAGAAUUGGGCUGCCUGUGUAAAUGCAGCAUUAAAUGUCCAGCUUCUAACAGGCAGACUAAAACAGAUGUCUGUAAUAUUCGUCCCUCAACCCAGAAUCCUGCUCUGUAGUUUUAUGUGAGUUUUAACAGUGGCCUGGUAACGUUUAGAGUUCUAUCUAAAAAGGAGUCCAGUGUAUUAGGAUGGAUCUGGCCUGUUAAACAUCAGACAGCGUGUGUUGUGUGUGUCUGUCUGUUCAGAGAAACGAUCAGAUGAAUCUACCGUCUGUUUCUAGAGAAAUAUUUAGAAAAAGGAUGUUAGGCGAGACUCUCUCUCUCACACAGCACCGUUAAUAAUUACAUAUCGUUUUUAUUUUCGAGUGUUUGUGUGUGGUGACUGUAUGCGAGUAACGCUGUAGGAGUAAGUCAGUAUCGCCACCUGCUGUCAGGAACAAGAACAGCAGAGGUGAGAAUUAGUAAGAGAUUAUCAACGAGGGGCUAUUAAAAAUAAUCAACGAUUUGUUUAUUUUUAUUUCACCUUUAUUUAACCAGGUAGGCUAGUUGAGAACACCUUUAUUUAACCAGGUAGGCUAGUUGAGAACAAGUUCUCAUUUGCAACUGCGACCUGGCCAAGAUAAAGCAAAGCAGUUCGACACAUACAACAACAGAGUUACACAUGGAGUAAAACAAACAUACAGUCAAUAAUACAGUAGAAAAUAUAGAACAAAAAGUCUAUAUACAGUGAGUGCAAAUUAGGUCAAUUAAGGCAAUAAAUAGGCCAUGGUGGCGAAGUAAUUACAAUAUAGCAAUUAAACACUGGAAUGGUAAUGUGCAGAAGAUGAAUGUGCAAGUAGAGAUACUGGGGUGCAAAGGAGCAAGAUAAAUAAGAGAUGUGUGUCCCACGACGUGCUAGCGGAGGGGAUCUGACCUGCCAUUGAGUUACAUCCCUUUCCAGAGAGAACACAUAGAGCCCAGAGUUGAUUAUCCCUUUAAUACCAUGGCUAUAAUUAAACACAUUUGCCGCAAGAUACGUGUUCAUUUACCGGUAGAAAUGUGUUCAACAUCCACUGAAGUAGCUCGCAAGUUUACUAGAUAGCUACGGUAAAUGCAUUGGUAACCAAACAAACAGACGUACUAGUUUAGCUAACUAAACCACCCGUUCUAGCUUGCCAGUAUGAACAUCGAAUUCAACAAUUCCAAUAAUGUUUUAAAUUCGACUUUUGCUUUUAAAAAGCAGCUUCAACAUAGAACAUGGAAGAAUGAACUAUAGUCAUUGAAUUCUACCGUGCAAAUAUACCGUGCGUUAUUUAAGCAAUAAGGCCAGAGGAGGUGUGGUAUAUGGACAAUAUACCACGGCUAAGGGCUGUUCUUAUGCAUCACGCAACGCGGAGCGCCUGGAUACAACCCUUAGCCGUGGUAUAUUGGCCAGAGGAGCCGUAUUGCUAUUAUAAACGGGUUAGCAACGUAAUUAGAGCAGUAAAACGAAACGUUUUGUCAUACCCGCUGUUUACGGUCUGAUAUACCAUGACUUUCAGCCAAUCAGAAUUCAGGGCUCAAACCACACAGUUUCUAACAGUAUAUAACCAACAGGGGUCAGGAGAGGCUAAGGGAGGCACAGUAGGCUGACUGGGGAGAGAGAACCAUUUAAGGAUAGAAAAUGUAUAAAUGCUUAAUGAACUUAGUUAAACUGUCGUACCCCAUCAGAACCCAAAACACAAGCUUGUUUUACUCCAAUGUUUGUAAACAAACACUGUAAACAAACACUGUAGCCUCAAAACACAGUUAAAAAUAUAUAAUUGAAGGUCAAUCCUUGCAUCCAAAGCAUUUUCUAUGAAUUUUCGAGUGGUUACAUUUCUCUAGCCCCAUCCCUAAACUGUUUACCAAACCAGUGGUGGCUGUCCGCUUUGUUGUUGUUUCAACAGCAGAUUGCUUCUUUAAAAAUCAUCCUCCAAAUCUGAACUUAUUGAUAAUGACAACAAUGUCCUUUAAUAUUUAUAAUACCACUGAUGAUUUUAGAUGGGAGAAGAAGAUAUCUCUGAGAGAUUUAAGGAACAGCUUUACUUAUCGAUGAUGACAACAAUGUCAUUUAAUAUUUAUAAUACCACUGAUGAUUUUAGAUGGGAGAAGAAGAUAUCUCUGAGAGAUUUAAGGAACAGCUUUACUUAUCGAUGAUGACAACAAUGUCCUUUAAUAUUUAUAAUACCACUGAGGAUUUUAGAUGGGAGAAGAAGAUAUCUCUGAGAGAUUUAAGG
rnacentral:lncRNA from 1 species